UGGUGUAAAAAAGACUGCUCAAUACAAAUAUGGCAUUCUAACACAGAACUUGAAGAAAGACAACCUUGGGUGAUCACAUUGGAUGAUAUAGAGUAGAUGAUUAAUGUAUACUGAUCAAGGUCUAUAUCUAUAAGGAGAUUUGAGCAGCACGCUCAGAUAGACUAAAAUUCAAUACGGACGAUUAAUACUGUGUUGCAGAGGUGGUAUAAAAAAAGACUGCUCAAUAUACAAAUACGGCAUUCUAGAGCUUGAAGAAACACGGACCUUGGGUAAUCUCACAUUGGCUGUUGCGCCGAAAUUCGAAAUAUAUAUAUUGUACACAUAGAACGUGGAUCAAUUCCUCACCAGCAUG
rnacentral:lncRNA from 1 species